ensembl:lncRNA
GGCAUGCAAGGCUGGGAUAAAUGAAAGUGAUUACAUUAUCUGGUGUCUAAGGGGUCACAAAUCUGUCCUAAGCACUGAUCUUUCUGGUGACCUGUUUCAGGAUUUCAUUUGUUCAACCUCUUCUGCUUCCUUUUUAUUGCACUUGGUAUCUCUGCAGAGCAAGUCUUCACCUGCUGUACACCUACUCCACCUAAUUAUUCCUCCUCUCCUUUCACCGGGUCUUGGCUUAAAACCUAUUUCCCACCACGAAACAGUCUGGACUGAGUGGUCUCUUAUGGCAUGGAUCAACUUGUGCCUCGAGACAUGUCCCCAUCCAUCACUGGGACCUGCUCAGCCUCCAGCCCAGCUGCACAGAAACCCUGCCAUACCUCUGAGUGCAGGGACACCGAAGCUUAAGAAUGUGCAUUAGGAAACUGAAGAGAAUUACUUCUGAAGAAUCUAAGCC